rnacentral:tRNA from 1 species
GCAGGGAUGGCGAAAUGGUAAACGCACCUGAUUUAGAAUCAGGAUUUUGAGAGUUCGAGUCUCUCUCUCUGUACCA